rnacentral:lncRNA from 1 species
UUUGAUUUUGGCAACAACACACCAAAGGAUAAUUGGCUUAUUUUUAGGGAAACCAGAAAUAAAGGUUGAGAAUCAGAAAGUUUCUGAAGCUAAGAAAGCACCUGCUAAGAGUGGUGUACCUGCCAAGCCUGAACCACCUGCUAAGAGUGGUACAUCUGCAAAACAAGUGAAGGUUGUUGAUCCAAAGGAGGAAAAAGAUGAUGAUUCUGAUGAUGAAUCAGAUGAUGAACUUGAUAGCUCUGAUG